rnacentral:rRNA from 1 species
GACGAACGCUGGCGGCGUGCUUAACACAUGCAAGUCGAACGGAAAGGCCCUGCUUUUGUGGGGUGCUCGAGUGGCGAACGGGUGAGUAACACGUGAGUAACCUGCCCUUGACUUUGGGAUAACUUCAGGAAACUGGGGCUAAUACCGGAUAGGAGCUCCUGCUGCAUGGUGGGGGUUGGAAAGUUUCGGCGGUUGGGGAUGGACUCGCGGCUUAUCAGCUUGUUGGUGGGGUAGUGGCUUACCGAGGCUUUGACGGGUAGCCGGCCUGAGAGGGUGACCGGCCACAUUGGGACUGAGGUACGGCCCAGACUCCUACGGGAGGCAGCAGUGGGGAAUAUUGCACAAUGGGCGGAAGCCUGAUGCAGCAACGCCGCGUGCGGGAUGACGGCCUUCGGGUGGUAAACCGCUUUCGCCUGUGACGAAGCGUGAGUGACGGUAAUGGGUAAAGAAGCACCGGCGAACUACGU